UACGGGGGGGGCAAGCGUUGUUCGGAAUUACUGGGCGUAAAGGGCUCGUAGGCGGCCAACUAAGUCCGACGUGAAAUCCCAAGGCUUAACCUUGGAACUGCGUCGGAUACUGGAUGGCUUGAAUUCGGGAGAGGGAUGCAGAAUUCCAGGUGUAGCAGUGAAAUGCGUAGAUAUCUGGAGGAAUACCGGUGGCGAAGGCGGCAUCCUGGACCGACAUUGACGCUGAGGAGCGAAAGCUAGGGGAGCAAACGGG
rnacentral:rRNA from 1 species